UGCCUCGAGUGACGCAGGUCUUCGCGUCCUUCUUUCGCGACUAUGCAACGUUUUUUUUCUUUUCUCUUCAAACGGCGAAUGACCACUUGGCGCGAAUUGACGAUCCUCGAUAUCUUGGACUGGUUAGCUAUUCGCAGGAGCAGGAACGUGACUCGUGAGAAAUGUCCAUAGCUAACGUGACGUAACGGGGGCUAUCGUUCUCGAAACUUCGGCAGGUCCUAGAGCUCUAAACGCGGCCCUGCUAAUUUUUGGGACGCCGCAGGGAAAUUUCUCGGAAUUUCUACAAUUAGGACUUUGAGGUAGCGAGAGGCGGUUGGGUCAGUUGCUCACCUUUCUUGCGAGGAUUUCUCCGAGGUUCUUCAAGGUCGAAAUCACUCUCUCCGUUUGGCAGCACCUUGACGACUGGGAAAAUGAGGGACCCCCUCCUACAGUUUACCAAAAGUUAACCCGAGCGGUACUUUCCCUUCUACGAAAUCGGACAUCUGACUUUUUCACCCGGAAAAAGAAUUCACGGUCAUCACAAGAAAUUUCACUUGCCGCAACAACUGGGAAUACUUGUUAUAUUGAGAAG
rnacentral:lncRNA from 1 species